rnacentral:rRNA from 1 species
AGUGAACGCUGGCGGUAGGCCUAACACAUGCAAGUCGAACGGCAGCACAGUAAGAGCUUGCUCUUACGGGUGGCGAGUGGCGGACGGGUGAGGAAUACAUCGGAAUCUACUUUUUCGUGGGGGAUAACGUAGGGAAACUUACGCUAAUACCGCAUACGACCUACGGGUGAAAGCAGGGGAUCUUCGGACCUUGCGCGAUUGAAUGAGCCGAUGUCGGAUUAGCUAGUUGGCGGGGUAAAGGCCCACCAAGGCGACGAUCCGUAGCUGGUCUGAGGGGAUGAUCAGCCACACUGGAACUGAGACACGGUCCAGACUCCUACGGGGGGCAGCAGUGGGGAAUAUUGGACAAUGGGCGCAAGCCUGAUCCAGCCAUACCGCGUGGGUGAAGAAGGCCUUCGGGUUGUAAAGCCCUUUUGUUGGGAAAGAAAAGCAGCAGGUUAAUACCCCGCUGUUCUGACGGUACCCAAAGAAUAAGCACCGGCUAACUUCGUG